UACGUAGGGUGCGAGCGUUGUCCGGAUUUAUUGGGCGUAAAGAGCUCGUAGGCGGUUUCGUAAGUCGGAUGUGAAAACUCAGGGCUCAACCCGGAGACGCCAUCUGAUACUGCGAUGACUUGAGUCUGGUAGGGGAUCACGGAAUACCUGGUGUAGCGGUGAAAUGCGCAGAUAUCAGGUGGAACACCGAUGGCGAAGGCAGUGAUCUGGGCCAGUACUGACGCUGAGGUGCGAAAGCGUGGGGAGCAAACAGG
rnacentral:rRNA from 1 species